rnacentral:lncRNA from 1 species
AUGUUCGUUGGUGUACUGAUCUAUACUGUAUAAAUUAAUUUAUAUAUAUAUAUAUAGAGAGAGAGAGAGAGAGAGAGUCCGGCUGUUAUACUUUUAUGAGUAUUAGCUCUCUUAUACCUUUUCGGUCCUUAGAUUUAUUUUAUUGAUCAUUUUCAUCCGUUACCGUUAGAUCAUACUAUUCAACCAACUACCAAUUCAACCCUAGAGAACUACUGUCAUUUUAGGUGGGGACCACCGUCAUCCUAACCACACAUUCCAUCAAGCAAUGGUUAAAAAUUUAUGAGUACAAGGAAGCCUAUACUCAUAAGAGUAUAGUAGCCCCAGCCUAUAUAUAUAUAUAUAUAUAUCUAGGAUACUUUUACAAGUAUCAUCCCCAUGUUGUUAUAUAUAU